rnacentral:lncRNA from 1 species
GUGGUGCUUGGAAAUAUUCCAACGCGUCAUUUUUAUUCUCCCUGCGCAACAAAGACAACCUUGCUCCAUUUAUUGCCAACGUCAAGCAAGGUCAGGAACACAAAGCAAUCGCCUGCCACCCUAGUUAUGGAUCGAUCUUUGGUAAAGGUCAUGAUCUGAUUAUUCGUGCCAAUCCUCAAGUUAAUCAGUCGCAAAGUAAUUUUGGAGACACGUAUCAGCUCCCCCGGGGUUAUGCCCAUGGCAGUAAACAAGCAAAGAACCUUCUUGCUGGUCAAAACGGUUUCUUAACGACAGAAAUUGAAGUCUUCAACUAAAAAGUGUUUCUGUUUGCUUGCAUAGAGCAUUACAGUCACGACUGGUGUGUAGUGAGAUAGUAGUUCAAUUUAUACCAUUCAUUUAUAUAAAGUUUUCAUGCAUAUAAAUUUAAUGCAUGCUUAUUUUCGUCCGAAGGCAGGCAGCGGGAGUUAACCCACUUGCUUGUGAAGCAAUGUUUUAAUAUGCAGACACAUUGCUAUGUAAAGGAGCAUAAUAAUGGUUAAAUUUGAGAAGAGUGCCAAGUAUUUUUUUUAAAUUUGACCGCAAAGUAAUCCUGUGCGCAAAAAAAGUUAUAAUAAUAAUAAUUUGAUCGAACCAUUGAUUUCCUUUUUGAUUCGCAUGAUUUUUCAUUGAUGUUUGUGAUAUUGAAAUAUUACAUGAUCAUAUAUAUAUGCCAAUAAUACCAAACUCAACUUUCAUAGCCACGCCCAAACGGCAUUAUUUUUAAUUUAAUAUCUUAAUUUAGAGAGAUAAACUACAAUUGUCUGUAUUGACUUCUUUGUAUUAAAAAUCACUGAUCGUGAAAUUAUAUAAUGUAAAUAAUUUAAAAAUGAAUAUAAUUUACUCCGUUGACUAAAAUUCAUAAUUAUUGCGUGUAACAUUAUAAUUGAAUUGUUGUUGUACUGUACAACUGCACUAGCAGUCAUUAGAUUAAUCAAUUCAAAUAAUUAUACAACCUGCCAAAGGAAACAUUUUUUUCCUCAUGAAAAUGGGCCCUUUAUAUUAUAUAUAAAGGGCCCAUUUAGGUUAUAUUUUAAUUAAGCGAUAAGUAAUACCAACACGUAAGCAAUGAUUAGCAGAUAGAAGUUUACAAUCUGACAAUUUGCCAAAGAAAUCGGGCUGAUUGUGGGUGGCGCCUGUUGUGUUCGGGCAGUGGAACCUUGCGGAUACGUCUUGCAAUUUGAUUUCAAGAUAACUUUAAGGGAGUCGAAGAUAAUUUUGACCUCAGAGGUCAUUUGUAACUGUGAUGUGGGUUCGUCGAAGC